rnacentral:rRNA from 1 species
CCUACGGGAGGCAGCAGUGGGGAAUAUUGCGCAAUGGGCGAAAGCCUGACGCAGCGACGCCGCGUGAGGGAUGAAGGUCUUCGGAUCGUAAACCUCUGUCAGCAGGGAAGAACGGUCACUGUGCUAAUCAGCAGUGCAUUUACGGUAUCUGCAAGGGACGCCUCGCCUAACUCCGUGCCAGCAGCCGCUGCAAUACGGAGGGUGCGAGCGUUAAUCGGAAUUACUGGGAGUAAAGCGCGCGUAGGCGGUAUGUCAAGUCAAGGGUGAAAUCCCCGCGCGCAAAGAUGGAACUGCCUUUGAAACUGGCAGACUUGAGUGUGUGAGAGGAUAGUGGAAUGCCAGGUGUAGGGGUGAAAUCCGUAGAUAUCUGGAGGAACAUCGGUGGCGAAGGCGACUAUCUGGCACAUAACUGACGCUGAGGAGCGAAAGCGUGGGUAGCAAACAGGAUUAGAUACCCCGGUAGUC